rnacentral:tRNA from 1 species
UGCGCUUGCAGCUUAGCUUGGAUUUGAGCGUUCGGUUCCUAACCGAAAGAUCGAGGGUUCGAAUCCCUCCAGGCGCGU